UAAAUAGAGAGUUGCGAUCCUCAUUUUUCAGAAGGGGGGCGAGGGUGUUGGCCUCCGCUUUGGGUGAGAGAUGCGAAGAGAAAGAAAGAGAAGUUAUACACUGGAAGCGGCCAGAAAAAUGUGGAUGAAGAAAUAUCUGAGGGGACCCUGAUGUCCGAAUUUCUCAAUGAAUAAUAGUUUUCAAUCUGAAUUUCGAGGGCUGCUCGUGUUUCUUCUUCGAUUUCUCUCCAUCUCUCAAUCCACGUGGCCUUCUCUCAAUUCCUCCUUCCUGGACCUUGUGAUGUUUGCUUUUUAACAGCUCUGAAGAUGUUAAGCUGUGGCAUUGCAUGUGUUUCUAUCAAGGCCGAUAAUUACCAACUUCAGGGCCAGGGUGCAAUUCAAGAUUUUGAUGAAUUGCUUGCUGACUAUCUGAGUUGACAAAUUGUUUGUAUGCUCAAAAUCUACCAUGGACUUCACCUUAUCGGAUCUCCACUCUAGCUUUGAGCUUUCAGCUUCCUACUAGUUUGUGCGACUGUAUGCAACAUUUUGUAUUUUGGGUUCUCUAUUGUUUUUUGUACGCAGGGAAAAAGAAUUUGAAAAACAUUUCUCUAAUUGUAAUUGUGUUGGUAUGUCUUGUGUGUUCAUCGUCGCAAUGGAUUGUGUAUCUGCAUCUGCAUGCCGAAGCUUUGUUUAAAUCUGAAGUGGAAGCAAUGUAAGAGUUCUUUUCUGAAAAUAUUAAUCUUGAAAGCAUUAUUUUAGUAGUAAUUCCUUUGGUGUCUCUUUUUUGUUCAUUUGAUGCAAUACAUUUGUGUACUUAUGCCUGCGUGCCUAAAUUGAGCGUGUAAAUCUAGAGUGUAGAGUUAUGGUUACGAUGCUUGAAGCUGUAGCCUGAUGGAGCUGCAGUGGAAGCAAGAAAAGGAAUCAAUUGCACAAUUAUCUACAUCUCCGCCCACUCUUUACCUAGAUUUUCCUCGUAGUACAAAUGUGGAAGAAAUACAUAGUUCUGCUUAUAUAAUGAUGGAAAUUAGUUUGAUAAAUACUGUAGUUUAUGGAGCCUAAUUGGCCUGGAGAAUCUGUGUGCCUUGUCAUUGUUACUUUUCAAUACGUAUUCUUUCUGUGAAAUGGCAGUUGGACAGAAAGAAUGGUACAAGCAGAUGUGUCAACUGGACAUUCAUGGAGUGUCCAAUAUGCAUCAGAGGAGACCUGGGAAAGAGUUCGAACAAUCCAUCUUUAAGAAAUUUGGACGAAGUUGAGAAAUGCAAUGUACCUACCUAAUGAUUGACUAACACGGCAUGGUGCCGUGUAGAUAUGUAGAUAAUGAAGCUGUUUCUUUUAAUCAGUUUGCUAUCA